AACAAACAGUUUGCUUUCCUCCAAGAGGAAAACUAAAAUUUACAACAGCUUCUGGAUUCUAGUCUCUCUCUUUUGCUUGACAUGAAGCCCCCAAGUCAUUUGGAGUUUGCAUGUGCAGUUUGCUAUGAUGGAUUCGCCUAAACCCCCAUAGGCCUUUUGCAAGAUGUUUUUGUUUGAAAAGGUAUAUCUACAACAUAAGAGAAAAUAUUAGAAAUUCUUUUGCAUCCAUUUUUUUUUUUAAGAACAACUGAGCAAAGCAAAAUUGAAGAGAAUGCUCUUAUCUUUAAAUUUUGUUGUAGUGCAGUUGCAUGAAUAGAACUUGUGAUUUUUCAAGAGCCACUAAAAAACUAAUGGCAUAGUCCCCAG
rnacentral:lncRNA from 1 species